CGGUACACCACUUUAACAAAUUGUACCUUGAACCUGCUUGUUUCGUCUUCGAUUUGUCGUUUGUGAUUGCUCCUUGAUACCACUAUUCUGAUCGUAUUUUAUAACUCUACGUGUUUUAUGGCAUUAUUAUAAUAGAGUGUUAUAAUGCUAUGGAAAAUCCAUGGUACGGUAUUUGAAGAUUCUUCAACAACCUGUUCUCUUCUCGAAUUCUUGCACUCAAAGUAUACUAACAGUUCUGGAUCGCGUUAAAAUUCUUCCGGGACUAAUUUCGUAGUUAGUGGGUCGCUAACAAUAUUGAAAUGUUUAGCGACCGAUUUAGCAACUUCUGCAUAACCCAAGCUAUAAAAGAGGGACCAAUAUAUUCUGCAUUCUUAGUUUUCCAUUGACAUCCAAAGCUCUACAUUCAGGGUUUCUUGAAAUUUACUACUUGAGUGAUUCUAUAAUAAAAAAAAAAAUGGUGCCUUCGGUGCUUCUUUUCAACUCGAUUUUGUUAUUGAAGAUUAUAUUGCAAACUGAAUGCAAAAGUUUGGAAACAACACCGCAGUCUUCAGAUGUCUCUGAUAUUGAUACCGAAUUUCUGAUGCACAUAAUAGGCAACAUUAAUGAUACAGAAUUAAAUACUACUAAAAAUGAAGUAAAUUCAACAAUUAAUUUGGGAGAACCUUUUGGAUUAACAAUAGAGACACGUCCCAAACGUGAGUCUUCUGCGAUGAACACUGUGAAUUCUACAGAUACCAAUCAGACAUCAAGCAGACUUGAAGAGACAAUUCAAGAAAUGUUUUUUGAACCCUGGGGUCGUAUUAGAAGAGAUGCUGAUGAUGCUCAAGAUCAAAAUUCAGAUGAAACUGCUCAAGAUGGAAAUUCUAAUGAAUCUGCUCAAACUAAAAAUUCAGACGAAGGUCAAAGCGAUUAUAAUGACACUGAUGAAGAUAAUGACCCAUCACACGAGUCCUCUAUACAACUGGAACAUGAUGGAACGAGUUCAAUGCAGGAGGAGGUUCGUGAAAAAAGAAAUGGAGAAUCAGGAGAAACUUUAGAAGAAGGUGAAUAUCGUUAUAGAACACAUCCAUAUUGGUAUCGUCAGCCCAUCAUCAGAAGAUAUUGGUCCAGCGAUGAAAGAAAAUCAUCUCGUGAUUUCAUAAAGAUUCCCAUAUUUCCUGGGAAGUAAUAUUCCUUCAUAGAAUAGAGUGACUCGCUAUAAAUCAGUUCGUUAUUUAAUUUACUAUUACAAUCAUUUUUUCAUUUUUUUAAUUACAGUAUUACUUGAACAAGCAAUUAUUUAAAAUAAAGUGUUAUUUGAUGAACAAAAUAACGCUUUAUCUCCAAUACUCAAUUUUUCAUUUUUUUAAAAAGUGCCUAACUUUGUCUUAUACUAAUUAUAAACGUAUGACUAACGAAUGUUUACAAUAAAUCAAGGAUGAAAGAGUUCACAUGUUUAUUUUGGUUAUUUUAAGAAAUUCAUAGUAAAUAGCAUUCAUAAAAAAAAAAAAAAGAUUUUAAAUUAACAAUAUUUGUUUGUAUCAUUAACGAUGCUUGCUUUGGUGAGUAGCUUUUCGUCUCCUUAAACAUUAGAGUAUUAUUAAAAUACGUACAUUGUCACUCGUGCUCUCAUUCAUUAUUAUAAAUUAAUAACAAGAAUAAUAAAAUACUAAUCGUUGUCUUAGAUUAACUUAACUUUACAAAAUUAUUUAAGUUACUUAAAUUACUUGACAAGCUAUUAAUAAACAUCGAGCAUGUUGUUAUUUUGUUAUUGAAACGACGUGCACGUGGUUUGUUUGUUAAUUAACAGGUCUGCUAUUUACAGCUUGUUCAUUAACAAGAUUACUAAAUGGCACAGCCUUUCUCAAAACCGGUCUACUUCCGUCUCCGGCGGUACUUCUUCUUUUCUUACAGUUUUGCAAUUAAUGUUUAUAAUUUAUCUAUCGUAUUUCUGAGUGAAGUUCAUCCUCAAAAAUUGGAUAGUUUAAUCUCAUUCAAGAAUCUUCAAUAUCCUUUUGUGAAAGGAUACUUAUAUCUUCCUUCUUUUGACUUUAAUGUGAAGUCUUACUUAUCCAUCUUUUAUAAGAUUCUUUUAAAAUUUUAAUCAUCAUAUUCAGAUUUUUCUUUUUCUCUGAUAAUUUUACCGAAUACCUUAUUGAUUCGUUUGAAACAAUUCAAAGACAUUCCUGCGUCGAAAUUACCAUAAAUAUAAAAUUAAACGAAUCGCUGGAAUGCGAAUCGCGCGUGUCCUUUUUACUUUCCAAAUCAUUGUCCUCUUGGUUGUCUGGUUGUCAGCAACACAGGCGAUGUCCUUAACGUUUCAGAAGCCAUUCCUGCGACGAUAAGCGUCCCUGACGCGUUGUCUGUACGCUAAUUGUUGUCUAUAAACGAACAGUGGUCGCAGAGCGUAGUUACCAGCUGCAGUCUCAAGAUCAUCCUGUUCCUCUUCCUUUGCUUCUCGUUUUUCAAUCAACUUAUCAUCAAUAAUAUUCUCCGGCUCGUUCAAUUUGCUUAAGAGAAGAGUAUAAAGCGCUGGAGAUGAUUCGUCGUUGAACUUCUCAAAGAGGAUCGGAAUUCUAACAACGGGACCAAGCUUGCUGUCGGGAUUGACCGGAAGUGCGAUGGAGGAGCCGAAGACAGCCAGGAAGAAGGCGAUCGCAAGGGGAGUCUGAAAGAAGAUAAUCAAUUUGUGAUUCUCGUGUGAUCUUUGUAAAAUCUAUGUACCACCUUACCAUCUUUGCACCAAGUUAAUCUCUCGAAGGACAAUUGAAGAUGAUUCUGAUGAUCUGAAACACCAGCUUCUCGAGCUGUUAGAUUCGCGGAACCGCUCGGUGGCUACUUUGUGCCUAGCAAAGCAUCCUUCCAGCAUUUAUACGAAACAAUGGCGUCAAACGGGGCCACGCUAAUCGUAUAGUGACGUAUCGUACCAGGUGAUAACUGACCUGGUAAACCAGAAACAUCGAUGAAUCCUCUGCAGUUUGUUUUUUUUACCUCAUCUAUGACCCCGAGAUCACAGGAUGCACAGGGAGUACGCAUGGAUCUUGACGUUGUUCGCGUUUCACGUCAAUUGCACCAAUCAAAUACAAGCUUGGUAAAAAAAAUACUACGACGUACCAUUUAUUACUCACGAGUUUGUUUCUUAGAAUAGAUCAUCGCGUUCUGCUGUAAUACACUUGGCAAUAUUUUAAGAAGAAAUGAAGAACCAACGUCAAUCAGUUUAUACGUAAUCAAUUUGUUGUUAUUAUAUUAUUUAAGUUUAGUAUGUUUGUAGAUUAUUGGUGGAUAUACUGGUGCAAAAUUCUGUAUUGGGGUAGAUAAUUAGAAAUGCUUGUCAGAAUUUUAAUUGAUUAAAGCACGAAUUUAUAUAUUGCUUUAUUAGGUAUAAGAUAUUCUCGAGCGAAAUUAGAACGAACUAACUUCUUUUAAUUAACGCUACGAUUGCAUAAAGCGUUAAUUAAUCCCGUUUGUUAAUACCACUGUAUGUCAAAGUAUUUCUAUUUGAAUAUCAAUAGUAUUUUAGUCGAUAACGUUAGAAAUAUAUUUUGAAAUAAUAAUUAAAAAAGUGCUAUAGAAGACCUACUAUAUAUUCAAAUUCUAUAUAAAGUAUUUUAACUAACUAAAAGCUUCAAAGCUUAACAUUUGAACAUUGAUUAUUCCUUUUUUCUUUUUUAAUAAUUAGUCAAAACUUUUUAAUGAGAGAAUUUCAAUUUAUUCAAGGUUUUCUACGCAUUUUUCAUCAACGAAGGAGAGAAUAUGUUCUUCGAAUAAAAACAGGGAAAGGAUGAAUCUUAGAAAAUUGUGCAUCUUCGGUUUUUGAAAUUAUCGAAUCAAAUGUUGAAUCAAGGUAUUUACCAAACAAAAUCGAUUUAUUUUCACUUAAUCAUUCUCAUCUUGUCGAAUAAAUAAUAAAGCUGUUCGCUUUUCUACGAAAUUGUUCGUGUAAAAACGAAUCGAGGAACAAAGGGAAACCGUUUCCUCUUUCUUUAAUUUUUUUGGUUCAUUUUAGUUUGUUCUUUUCACUGUUUGUCGUGUAUGUGUGUUUGUGUGUCUGUUUUUCAAUCUUGUCACGCGACUCUUAGGAUAUAUUAGAUCUCAGGCUCGGCUUCCUCGUGCACAGUUUCGCUGCUUUCGGUAGUAGUAGGAGUAGUUUCGCUUUUAGAUCUGAAAGAAAUCACCAGAUGAGGGUAUUUCGUGGCUGCUGGGAUGAAUAAGUACGAGAAUAUUAAAACACAUUCGAUGCCAGCUCGGAAAACGAGUCGAUUCAAUUACUGUCUGCCACAGCCUUUAAACAGUAUGGACAUUGCACGCGAUGUCGCGUGAGCGGCACCGAAUGUGUUAACAAAUGGAUUAGUAGUACAUAUUAAGUUGUUACUUAUCAAAUGACUCAUUUUGAUACAUAGAAAGAUUGACACGAUUAAAUAACAUAAAAGUAACAGUAAAAAUUUACAACUAGCUAGGAUAAUUCUAUUUUCAGCUGUAAAUUGAUUGACUUCAAUGGAGAAUCAAUCAUUUUGUAUUGAAAUAAUUGAUGAACCGUUGAUGUAGUAAGUUUCAUUAAACUUUAUGCCACAAGUGUUAUUUUGUACUACUUUUGUGUCAUGAAAUCAUGUCAGACUCUCUGUGCUUAGAAAUCAGUUAUUUGAUAUGCAACAACCUAAUAUCAUUGUUGUUAGAAACACGAGGUCUCUGAGGUCAGAGGUGAUAGGCCACGACUACAUUGGAGAACGACGAGGUGACACAGAUAUUUCUAGCAAAGUAGCUGUAAACAGAGAUUGACUAUCGCAAUCUAACGCUUAAAUUAACUUACUAACAUUUUUCACUAAUCACUCAUCGCUUUGCUAAUGUAUCCGUGGCCUUAAUGUGGCGGGAUCGAGACAGACAUUAGAAUUGUUAGGUGAAAGUCAGGGGCGGAUGGAUCGAUCGACCUGUCGUGAUAUUAAAUUUGCUCAAAAAUUUCUUCGGUUACUUUGAUUACUCGUGAAAAAUUGAACAUUCAAUUGGAGCAAAUUUAAUAAUCUGAAAACAGUCGUUCGAUCGCGUUAGUUAAACAAAGGGGAUAGAGUGGAAUAAAAAAAAGUUGGAAAGUACGAAAAAAUCCUUUCCUGUAUUGAUCGAUCUAAAUAUGCAAUCGGGGAACCUCGUCUACGAGUCUUACUACAUUUUGCGAGUGGAAAAAAAAAGAAAGAAAAAUGUAUGCGUCGUGAGGGCAUCGAGUUCACCGCACAAUUCAUUGUUUCUUUUUUUCUCUUUCUCGCUCUCUUUCGUUCCGGUUCGUGUAAAUAACAUUGUAUUACAUGCAAAUCGUUCAUUAUUCUAUCCGUAGUUACUUCGAUUUGGAUCUAUUCUUUCUCUAACGGGUGAAGAAGCGAAAUGACCUUCUGUGUAAGAAACCAACUUGAAGAGAGAUCAAAAGAUGAAACUCUCUCUCUUUUUUUUUUUUUAUAUUCCUUUCAGUUCACUUCUUUAGCCCCUUCGUUUCUAGAUUCUUUUCUUUCUAAAUUCUACCGCUCGUGUUCAGCUGUUACAUUUCAAACACCGCAUUCGAUACGCUUCUACGACGCUACAAUUUUUUAUUUUUUUUUUGCGAAUAUAGUUAACUGUGCUUAAGUCGAGUCGCAAGGAGAUGCAAUCUGACUUCGUAGAGAAGUAACUUUCCUAUCAUUAACCAUUUGAACUUGAAAAGUAUCAAGCUGAAUCCAAUCGUGACACUUUCGAUCCUUGUUCUUCUUUCGUUUCUAUUUCUGAUUUUCUUUCGCUUCUCGCACGCGUAACUCGAUCCUUAGCUUUUUAGGUAAAUCUAUCUGCCACAAAUUGUCGAUCGAACCGACAGAACGUAUGAAGAAUGUUAGCAUUACAAACUAUUGCAUCUAACACCUUCUACCAAAUGCAUUAAUUGCAUUAAAAAACAUUCUUGUUAUUCGAUUGAAACAUAUCCAUUGAUUCGAUCGUUCGACAAUUAUAUGAUAACAGACUUACUGGAACGAUAAUAUCUAUUAACAUAUAAUAAUAAUAUGUAUGUAUGUAUGUAUGUAUGUAUGUAUGUAUGUAUGCAUAUUGUCGGAUGGUAAAGGAUUCACUUGCUCGAUGGCUACGCUCUUCCAAAAGGCGAGGAUUUUGCUUUACGUUAUUGUAAUUAUUAACGCUAUUAUCGGUCGUAUUCUCGAUGUGGUUCCCAUUUCGAUCCCUUCCAUUUGUUUCGUACGAGUAGGCACUUAGCUAUGUUUCUGCGGUUCCUUGUAGUUUAGAACGCUAGUACGGUGAGAAUAUAUUUGUAUACCCGGGGGGGUGGAGAGAACAGAAACUUGCGUACAAAAGCCUCCCCUCUUCGUCUUUUUCUUUCGUGUUCGAUCGUUCGAUUUCUUCAUAAUAUUUCUUUUUUUUUUCUUUUCUUUUAGAACAAUCAUUCUCUUCUUUCUUUAUUACGCUCAUUCUCUCCCUCUCUCUCGCUCUCUCACGCAUUCAAUCAAAGCGUGUUUUAUAUAUAUACAUAUAUAUAUUUUACGCUUCUUCCCCUUUUUUUUUUCUUUUUCUUUCUUCUCGUGGUUCUGGAACUUUAAGUUAGCACCGUGUCUUUCGUGGAUUCUAGUUCUCGAGAAUAAGCUUUUCCUCUCACACGCACUCUCUCAUUCUCGUCAGGAAGUUUUCCCGCGAUCAACGACAACAGGGGAGUUCUUUCAAGGUGAAUUGUUCGUUCAUCCUUCUAUUGUUUACGGUUAUUCAAGAAUAUCUGGGCAAACUCGUGCAACCACCUUCAUUAGGAACGAACGUCUCUUACUGAAAGACUAGCCACGAACGAAUUUCAUUCUGUAAUUGACUCUUCGAUGAAGUUGACUUGAACUGUUCAAGGCUUCCUGGUUACAUACCGUGUCCCUUUGGAAUGUCACUUUUUUGUUUCUUUUUCUUUUUGAAGACACAUUAAUACUAUCUUGGAUAUAUUGGAUCAUCCAUACAGCGAUCUAGGAACAUUGAGAAUUCAAAGUACUUUCAUAAGCUUAAGUGGAACAUUGCGGUUAUUAUUCACAAACUGAGGAAACUAUGAUUACAUUCUAUUAGUUUGUUGCAUAUAUCAAAUGAACGGUUUUGGGGCACACACUUAUACCGUGUCAAUUUGAAGCUCAAGUCAGACUUUCUAUGUUUAAAAAUUGAUCAUUUGAUACAGAACAAGCUAAUACAUUUAGAAUUCCAAUUGAGUUGUUCCAUUUAUAGUAUCCUCAGAAUUCUAAAUGCCACAAUGCAAUAUAGAAAUGCAAAUAACAGUUUACCAGGACAUUCGAUAAACAAGAUCAUCCUGAGAACCUUAAUUUCUCAAUGCGUCCAUUGUACUGUGAAUCCAGCUGCUACAUGGAUGAAACGUUUAUUCCAAUAUCCAGAAGCCUCUCAACAGUUUCAACCGCAAGAACCCAAUUAUCCUCGCGACAUCCUGAAGGUAUUUCAACGGUGUGUCUCUAAAAAGCAAAAUAUAAAAAAUAGCGAAUUUGUUGAUUUUCUGUAGGAACGCUAGCAUCUCUUUCGUUGAACGAGAUCGCUCUAAAUGAAGGCACGUACACUUGUUGUUGUUUUUGUUGUUGUUCCCCUCUGUUCAGAGGCUAAAUUUCUGACCAUUUUAUCCUUUUUCGCACCUUCUCGAACGUAGCAGAGAAUUCGUCCAACACGGACACACCUCUAGUUACACAAAACAUAGUCUAGACGAAAAAUCAGGUAACGAGAUAUACAAUUGGUGCAUACACAGGUGAACAACUGUACCCGACGACAGAAUACUGUAUUAAAUUCGAACAUGUUAACAUAAUGCAUCUCUAAGAUAACGAAUUACACGGACGCAUAUUUAAUGCAAUAACACGUACCCGAAAUGUCUCGUUUCUUUUUUUUUUUUGUUUGAAGAUCGUAUUCCAAAUUUAGAGCCAACGACGUACAAAAAAGUACAAAAUACGUUUGCCCAUCACGUGCAUUUUCUUCUAAAGAAAUAUCGAAACGCAAACUGCAUUUUUCUUUUCUUUUUUUUUUUUUUCUUUUGGAACACGAUCCAAGUCUUUUCUUCUCAAUUUUUUUUUUGUUUGUUUCUUUUUGACGAUCGUGACUUACAUGAAAGCUCGACUUAAAGAGUACAGAUUUAACUUUUUUUUUCUUUUUCUCAUUUUUUUUUUUUUUUUGUUCAACUCUGCUUCUUCUAGAAGCAAUUAGACGUAUAUUCAGUCUUUCCACGAUGCUCAACGUGUACUUAAACAUGUUACCAUUGAGCAAGUCAGUUGGAGUUAGCAUUUGAUAAGAGAUUGGCUCUUUUAACCCCCUGUUUCUGUUCCCCUCGGCUCUUUUAAGUGUCUUAAAGUCUACUCGCUAAGCUGAUCGAUGCGCAGGGACACGCUCUGUGAAGAGGGUUAAAAGUGUACAAAAUAAAAUCUACUAACGCAACCAUGGACAUGGUUCAUGAAUUUAACACGUACUGAUCAGAAUCAAUUUUUGAUAUCAACCUUGAUACUUUACACCCCCAGGUUGUACAGAAAAUAUCAACAUCCGAUGAAUAGUAUCAAGUACCUUUAGAUCAAAGCGAAUAGAAUUAUUAUCAAUAAUUCUAUGCUUUUUCUCAUCUUUAAGAAUGCGAGGAAGUUCCUACGAAUCAUCAACUAAUUCCCAAGAAUUAGUUAAUACGGUACUUGGUACUUAAAACAUCGUUGUCUCCCAGUAUCAAGGCUAAUGUCAGAAACUGAUUCCAAUUUCUAUGCAUCUAGUUUAUGCAUGGCAUACAAAAUUCUUGUUGGCUUCUUAUCGUUUGGCACCUACUAUAUAUGGAUUACUUCAUCACAAUAAUUAACAGACAAAUAAUAUGCAGUCGCGUGAGAACAGUGUGAUGAGCACGGCAAGUUAAUUAUUUUUAAGUCGUUGCUAAUUACUUCAAUACGUUGCGAAAUUCGUUAUUAUUAGUGUCUUCUGUAUACCAGGCAUGAAACAAAAAAGAAAAACUCCUUUAAAGAGACUUGCAUGAAAUAUUACCAAGUACACAGAAUCGAAGGCACAAAUUGCCAUUUAAACGAAAUAUCUCGGUCAAUUGCGUUUGUUCAUAGAAGAUAGUGAAAAAGAUUUAGUUGUCGUUUACCAACAGCCCAAGGAACAAGUUCUAAACGAAUUAAACGAUUCUAAGUAAAUAACAUCAAGAAAUGGGCCAUAUGGUACGUCACAAGCAUGACUUAUGCUAACUCUAAUAAUCCAUUUCACCUGAUCGUGAAUAUUCUAUAGAAGAAUGGACUCUACUUCGAUGGGCAAGUUAUUUUAUAAAAACAUUUACAUGGUGUACUAUAAUUAAGAUUGUUAACAUUUCUUUCUACGCCUAUCACGAAUAUACUCGUUAGAUCCUAGCAAGGGAAUCGGGUGCUUAUUAACUCUAGGAGAAUGAUUUUGGUACCCUGAACAAUUGCUAACAGUAAGACUAAUUUAUUCGAGAAUUAUUCACCGAAGAAAAAGAAUCGAAGAGACUCGUCUCGUUUGUUCUUAAAAUGGUUAUUAAAAUUAUUGAAUUAAACGUCGAAUAGCAAUGAAUUAUAAAUAGAAAAAGCACUAAAUCUAUUUAAGUGAUUGAAAAAUUAAAAAAAAAAAAAAAAAAAAAAAAAAAGAGGCAAAUUAAUACUUGCGUUUGUCUCUCUAAAAGUAAAUCAUUGAUUUUACUUAUUGGAACGUUAUGCACCCAUUUGAUGUGUAAUACCUAAUAUAUAUGAAAAACCUACAGUUAUUACAAUAUACGAAUAAGAAGACAUUGAUUCAUCCUCCGUAUUAGAUUUUUACACGUGCCUUCUUUUCUCUUCUAAUUUACAAGACACACAAUUAUUAACAUUCUCUAACAAAUAAAAAACAUAUCCUAUAUUUUUCUGAUUAGGAUUAAAAAAAAAAAA